rnacentral:tRNA from 1 species
GCCCGCUUGGCUCAGCGGUAGAGCGUAAGUUGAAUAUCAACUCAAAAACCUGACUCAUGAAUACUAAUUCGUCAUAGGCAUCACUAGUAAUGAUGAGGUCGUCAGUUCGACUCUGGCAGUGGGCA